UGAGGAAUAUUGCGCAAUGGGGGAAACCCUGACGCAGCAACGCCGCGUGUGCGAUGAAGGCCUUCGGGUUGUAAAGCACUUUUUGGAAGGAAUAGGAAGGAAGGUACUUCCAGAAUAAGUCUCGGCUAACUACGUGCCAGCAGCCGCGGUAACACGUAGGAGGCAAACGUUAUCCGGAUUUACUGGGCGUAAAGCGCGUGUAGGUGGUUCUGUAAGUAGGGCGUGAAAGCUCCCGGCUCAACUGGGAGAGGCCGUUCUAAACUGCAGAGCUAGAGGAUGGUAGAGGGAGGUGGAAUUCCAGGUGUAGCGGUGGAAUGCGCAGAUAUCUGGAGGAACACCAGUGGCGAAAGCGGCCUCCUGGACCAUUCCUGACACUCAGACGCGAAAGCUAGGGUAGCAAACGGG
rnacentral:rRNA from 2 species